rnacentral:rRNA from 1 species
AUUGAACGCUGGCGGCAGGCCUAACACAUGCAAGUCGAACGAGUGGCGGACGGGUGAGUAAUGUCUGGGAAACUGCCUGAUGGAGGGGGAUAACUACUGGAAACGGUAGCUAAUACCGCAUACCAUCGGGUGUGCCCAGCUGGGAUUAGCUAGUAGGUGGGGUAAUGGGUCACCUAGGCGACGAUCCCUAGCUGGUCUGAGAGGAUGACCGGCGACACGGGAACUGAGACACUGUCCAGACGCCUAGGGGAGGCAGCAGUGGAGAAUAUUGCACAAUGGGCGCAAGCCUGAUGCAGCCAUGCAGCGUGUAUGAGGAAGGCCUUAGGGUUGUAAAGUACUAUCAGCGGGGAGGCGUUACCCGCAGAAGAAGCACCGGCUAACUCCGUGCCAGCAGCCGCGGUAAUAC